GUCCUUGAAGUUGAAUUUCUUUUUCCCAGCAAGGGUGCUAUAGAGGAUCACAUUCAAGUCUCCAAAAUCCCCAUAGAACUUAGGCAAGCCCCCCAACACCAUUCCCUGCUUUCAUUUUUUAGUACAUUCCCAGUGGAUUUUAUUCGAUGGCGUGCCUCCUCUUUCACUUUCCGUGCUCUCUGGAGCCUCCAGGACUUUUCCAUUCAUCGCACCAGCAAAAGCCAGCGCUGGUGGGAGCCUGGCAACGGAGUCCCUGGGGGCCUCCUGCGCAAGCGCAGACGACCUACUGAGCUCAAUCCUACUGAGCUCAAUCCGUUCCUCGGACUUUGCCCACCAAGGGCGGGGCCUCCCAGGCACCGCUGAGCACAGGGCCCGGCUGAGGGUCUCCCUGCGGGGUCUGCUGCACAGACGAGGUCAGCUGCUCUGCUCUUCCUCUGGGAUUAGAAAUCUGAGCCUCAGCCAAGUUACGAAAUUUGCCUAAAGCCACGCAGAAAAUGGCAGGACUGGAAAACCAGCCCAGGCAGCCAGACUCCACGAAUCUUAUUCCUCAAUAUGAAAACCCACUGCCAACAGCACCCCCAUGCGUAUGAUGGAUCUACUGUGGAUAUUUGUGGAGUUCACAGAGCUGCUCUCCCGUCUCACUCUCUCUUGCUCAUGCACUGACCCGGAAGCAGACAUACGGAGGGCAGAGUGCCAAAAAAAGCAUUGGGUCAGCCCCCACCUGAACCACCAGAGGAGAGAGCAGAGGCUGAAGAGAGAAGACAAUGGUGGGGAAAGACUUUGAUGCUACUUCUGGUGGAUUCUUGCUUUUAAACAGCUGUCCAGGUGUUGCAUGGGCAUGUUGU